UUGAGUAGACAGAUAUCAACAUUUUGCUC
rnacentral:sRNA from 1 species